rnacentral:rRNA from 1 species
CCUACGGGAGGCAGCAGUGAGGAAUAUUGGUCAAUGGGAGAGAGCCUGAACCAGCCAAGCCGCGUGAGGGAAGACGGCCCUAUGGGUUGUAAACCUCUUUUGUCGGAGAACAAAACCCGGGACGUGUCCCGGACUGCGUGUAUCCGAAGAAAAAGCAUCGGCUAACUCCGUGCCAGCAGCCGCGGUAAUACGGAGGAUGCGAGCGUUAUCCGGAUUUAUUGGGUUUAAAGGGUGCGUAGGCGGGCCGUUAAGUCAGCGGUAAAAUUGCGGGGCUCAACCCCGUCGAGCCGUUGAAACUGGCAGACUUGAGUUGGCGAGAAGUACGCGGAAUGCGCGGUGUAGCGGUGAAAUGCAUAGAUAUCGCGCAGAACUCCGAUUGCGAAGGCAGCGUACCGGCGCCAGACUGACGCUGAGGCACGAAAGCGUGGGGAUCGAACAGGAUUAGAUACCCCAGUAGUC